rnacentral:rRNA from 1 species
UACGUAGGGUGCGAGCGUUGUCCGGAAUUACUGGGCGUAAAGAGUUCGUAGGCGGUUUGUCGCGUCGUUCGUGAAAACUUGGGGCUUAACUCCAAGCGUGCGGGCGAUACGGGCAGACUUGAGUUCUACAGGGGAGACUGGAAUUCCUGGUGUAGCGGUGAAAUGCGCAGAUAUCAGGAGGAACACCGGUGGCGAAGGCGGGUCUCUGGGUAGUAACUGACGCUGAGGAACGAAAGCGUGGGUAGCGAACAGG